UUUAAAGCGAAUAAGGGCGCAUGGUGGAUGCCUAGGCUCUAGGAGGCGAUGAAGGACGUGGUAAGCUGCGAUAAGCUACGGGGAGAUGCAAACGAUCGUUACAUCCGUAGAUUUCCGAAUGAGACAACUCAAUACAUUGAAGAUGUAUUAUCCGCAAGGAGGCCAACGCAGGGAACUGAAACAUCUAAGUACCUGCAGGAAAAGAAAAUAAAUUAAUGAUUCCCUAAGUAGUGGCGAGCGAACGGGGACCAGCCCAAACCGCGGUGGCGUGCUGCCGCGGGGUUAUAGGACUACUUUUAGAAAGUCAGAUCAAAUUGAAUCAUCUGGAAAGAUGAGCCAUAGCAGGUGAUAGCCCUGUAGAUAGAAAUUCUGAUAGACGUGUAGUAUCCUGAGUAGCGCGGGACCGGAGGAAUCCUGUGUGAAGUUGCCAGCACCAUCUGGUAAGGCUAAAUACUCCCUAGAGACCGAUAGUGAACCAGUACCGUAAGGGAAAGGUGAAAAGCACUUCGAAUAGAAGAGUGAAAUAGUACCUGAAACCGUGCGCCUACAAGCGGUCGGAGCAUAG
rnacentral:rRNA from 1 species